rnacentral:lncRNA from 1 species
UCAAAGUGAUCUGCUUUGAGUUCUAAAAAUUAUUGCGAAUAUACAAUAUGGAGGUAAAUAUGCUAAAAAUUACAACUUCUUGUGGUUUGAAUAUUUAAUUUCAAUUACUGAGUUGAAUCGUUGGUUUGUAUCACUUAACUUUUUUUUGGUUUAAACCAUACUUCAUUCAUUGCAAUCAAAAUAAGACAAGAAUUACUCCACAUGGGAGAGUUCAUACAAGAGCGGAGG